ACAAAUUAACAACUUUUCACUUUUGUCUUGUUCCUGGGUUAAAACCACAAUUUCCCAUUUCUUCACAACCAAUCAAAAGAGAAAAGAGUGGUCUUGACCUCCAAACUUUGGUUUUGUGGUCAGGACAUUGAAGUUGCAAAUUAACCAGUUCAUUCAAGAUAAGUCCA